UUUUUAGAAGAAUGUAGCGACACGAAUAAGAUAACAAGUAAAAACUCAGUAGGAUCAAAGUGUUUAACUUUCUGAUUGCAGCAGUGUGCAGACUUUAGUAGAGAAUUCAAGUUGGCUCCUUUUCAUGACAUGUCUUUCUCUACUACUCAUUCUCUCGUUACAAAAACUGUAUGCCAAACACAUAUAGGGUUACAAUUAACAGCUUCUACACAUUGGCUGGUCUAUGCUCCUAAGACAAUCCCAGUUUCUAAAGUUUUGAAAGUCUCUUGUAAAAAAUUAAAAAAUAAAAAGAAUACACUAGCGUUUCAGCUGCAACUUUUUUGUUCUACACGUCUAUUUGCAGUUUUUAUGACACUCCGCAGUUAAAAAACCUACUAAAUCCAUAUGUUAGGAACCUCAAGAAAAAAUUUCAUCCAUGCCUCUCUACGAUAUAAUGUAUGUAAUAAUGUUUAGCGCCUUCUUGUCUAGCAACUUCAAUUGGAAAAACUCCUUCUCUGAGAAUCCUACUUGAAACAGAAAAAAUGAUUUGACAGUUAAAAUAUGCAGAAAUCGAGUUCAAACUGACAAUGACAAGAAUUUCGCAUAGGAAUACUCACUUCCAGCAAAUAAUAUGACACAAAGGCUUAAAUUCUUCAAUCAGCGUCACCUAGUCCAUCCUUACCAUCACCUCUCUUAGAUAUAGG
rnacentral:lncRNA from 1 species